CCUACGGGAGGCAGCAGUGGGGAAUAUUGCACAAUGGGGGAAACCCUGAUGCAGCGACGCCGCGUGAGUGAAGAAGUAUUUCGGUAUGUAAAGCUCUAUCAGCAGGGAAGAAACCCACCCUCCGGGGUGGCUGACGGUACCUGACUAAGAAGCCCCGGCUAACUACGUGCCAGCAGCCGCGGUAAUACGUAGGGGGCACGCGUUAUCCGGAUUUACUGGGGGUAAAGGGAGCGUAGGUGGCAGGGCAAGUCAGCUGUGAAAACCCGGGGCCCAACCCCGGGAGUGCAUUUGAAACUGGCUGUCUAGAGUUCAGGAGAGGUAGGUGGAAUUCCUAGUGUAGCGGUGAAAUGCAUAGAUAUUAGGAGGAACACCAGUGGCGAAGGCGGCUUACUGGACUGUAACUGACACUGAGGCUCGAAAGCGUGGGGAGCAAACAGGAUUAGAUACCCCGGUAGUC
rnacentral:rRNA from 1 species